AAAUCGUGUUGAGGAUAACUACUAAGCAACCCUGUGUAUCUCUUUCAUGCGUCAUAUAAGGAUUUGACAUUAUUUUGUUGAAAAUUAACAAUAUUUUUCUUUAGCUU